GCUCUUGUUUUCAUGUUUUUGUUUUUAUUUCUUUUUGAAUCGUAUGUUUGUUUGAUCUUUUGUCAAAUCCUCCAUUACUCUAAUUCUGCAAGAAAAGAAUGGUCUGUUGGAUAAAUUCCCUUACGAUGUAAGAAAAGAAGCUUCACUUCUCCACCAAAUAAAGUUUCAAUUUUUUUUCUUUUAGGGUUUCCUCUCUCUCUUAUCUUUGGGAGAUUUCAAUCAGAGGAGAGAUUUCAAAAAGAUGCUAGAUUUCAGUCGAGUCUAGAAAGAGCUUCAAGAUUUCAGCAGAGACAACGAUUCUUCGGGUAUCCGGGUCAGCCCGAAAGCCGAUAAUCUCCCCCGACUCACCGGAACCAUUCCUGGUCCAAUCGGUACUCCUUAGGAAGGCGGAACUUUUCAUAUCAAUAUCACCAUGCCAGUGGUUGGUUCUGUUCCUUUUUCUCGUCCUGAUCGUGUUUCUUCUCCUAAAGCUCCAGAAUUUGGUCUUGAAGAUCUCAAAAGGCUCUUCCUUUUUCAUAUUUCUUCUAUCCAGAGAUAAAGAGAUGGGUACAUACCUAAGUUCUCCAAAAACUGAUAAGUUAUCAGAAGAUGGUGAGAAUGAUAAGCUCGGAUAUGGUUUAACGUCUAUGCAAGGUUGGCGUGCUACCAUGGAAGAUGCACAUGCAAAAAUUCUUGAUUUGGAUAAUAAGACAUCUUUCUUCGGUGUGUACAAUGGCCAUGGAGGUUAGCAAAUACUGUUUAUGCUCUGAAGACAGCGCUUGUUUCAGUCCAGGCAUUACUCUCUGCAUCUGAGCCCAAAUACCCUCAAGAUGCUGUUGUAGCUGAAUUUCGCAAGUCAUUCUCUGCGGUGGCUCAGCCAGGUCCAGCGGUGGUCGCGUUGCAAGGGUGGCGGUUAGGGUUCGUCCAAAUUCUUAGAUCUGUUCACGGUUCGGUUCCCAAGCAUUUCUUCUUCAGACACCUGAAUAUGGAAUUAAGACUAACGAGGUAAAGGAGAGAAUGAUCUUGUUGUUGUUAGUUUAUAUAGCUUGAAGGAACCUUUUGUUGUUGUUUUGUGGUGAUGUAUGAUUGAUUUAUGUAUUCUUAUGAGGUGAAUUCGAGAGGAAUUGAGAUCUUUUCCAAAAGCGGGCUUCUCCUGGAGUUCACACGAAGGAGUUAUCCAAAUUAUAAAUCGGGUGAUUCCUAGCUUACCUAAUUUGGACCUACACGGAUUCAUUGGAGGAUUCCGACAAGAGCAGAAGGAUCUAAAGAGGGCAAAGAGAAGGCGACUUAGUGAGGAAGCUAAGGAAGCUCACGUUGAAGACAUUUCAUCAACUGCACCUUCUGCAAGCCAACUCUGAUUCUAGGACUAAUUAGAGAUGAAUUGAUAUUUUGGGAUUUUAUAACCUAUGAAACUAUUGGUUAGGUUAUUUUUUUGGAUGUAACCCUCUGAUAUUUUGUCUACGUUUAACCUAGAUAACAAUCAGUUGUUAACUGUUUGGUUUAUCGUCUUUUUAUCGUUGUUAACUGCACCUUCUGUACCCAUUAUGGAGUUAAAAAAAUAUAUAUAUUGUAUACUA